CGAUCGGUAGCCGGACUGAGAGGUUGAACGGCCACAUUGGGACUGAGACACGGCCCAGACUCCUACGGGAGGCAGCAGUGGGGAAUAUUGCACAAUGGGGGAAACCCUGAUGCAGCGACGCCGCGUGGAGGAAGAAGGUCUUCGGAUUGUAAACUCCUGUUGUUGGGGAAGAUAAUGACGGUACCCAACAAGGAAGUGACGGCUAACUACGUGCCAGCAGCCGCGGUAAAACGUAGGUCACAAGCGUUGUCCGGAAUUACUGGGUGUAAAGGGAGCGCAGGCGGGAAGACAAGUUGGAAGUGAAAUCUAUGGGCUCAACCCAUAAACUGCUUUCAAAACUGUUUUUCUUGAGUAGUGCAGAGGUAGGCGGAAUUCCCGGUGUAGCGGUGGAAUGCGUAGAUAUCGGGAGGAACACCAGUGGCGAAGGCGGCCUACUGGGCACCAACUGACGCUGAGGCUCGAAAGUGUGGGUAGCAAACAGGAUUAGAUACCCUGGUAGUCCACACCGUAAACGAUGAUUACUAGGUGUUGGAGGAUUGACCCCUUCAGUGCCGCAGUUAACACAAUAAGUAAUCCACCUGGGGAGUACGACCGCAAGGUUGAAACUCAAAGGAAUUGACGGGGGCCCGCACAAGCAGUGGAGUAUGUGGUUUAAUUCGACGCAACGCGAAGAACCUUACCAAGUCUUGACAUCCCUUGACAGGCAUAGAAAUAUGUUUUCUCUUCGGAGCAAGGAGACAGGUGGUGCAUGGUUGUCGUCAGCUCGUGUCGUGAGAUGUUGGGUUAAGUCCCGCAACGAGCGCAACCC
rnacentral:rRNA from 1 species